UACGUAGGGUGCGAGCGUUGUCCGGAAUUAUUGGGCGUAAAGCGCACGUAGGCGGCUUUUUAAGUCAGGGGUGAAAUCCUGGAGCUCAACUCCAGAACUGCCUUUGAUACUGAGAAGCUUGAGUCCGGGAGAGGUGAGUGGAACUGCGAGUGUAGAGGUGAAAUUCGUAGAUAUUCGCAAGAACACCAGUGGCGAAGGCGGCUCACUGGCCCGGUACUGACGCUGAGGUGCGAAAGCGUGGGGAGCAAACAGG
rnacentral:rRNA from 1 species